AGAAUGUGAGAUUCCUACCAAAAAAAGGAGAAAAAUGUCAACAUCCUCUCAGAAGCCAUCAAGCCUCCCAAAGCCUCCAAGUUACAAACCACCUACUGACAUCACAGCUCACUCACCUGAGGAAGAUGAGCCAUCCCUUCCAAAUCUUUCAGCUAAUAAUACUUUUCAUGAUACAGUUUUUGAGCCUGAUGGGAGGUAGCAACAUUGGAGACGCUGUGAGGAGAAUCCUUCGGAAAAUAGCCACCAAUGAGGCCUGGUCAAAUUACAGCCUGAAAGGCCGAAAAGGAAAACUGACCUUCAUUGGGACAGCCCUCCACCAUAUUGUUUUAAGUAUGCUUUUCAAAACUUCUCUCUUCUUUUCACUUCAUCAUGCAACUUUUUAAAGAGCAAAUGAUAAACAGAAAAAUG